rnacentral:rRNA from 1 species
GACUGUGCUAAGGUAGCAUAAUCAUUUGGCCUUUAAUUGGGGUCUGGUAUGAAUGGAAAAACGUAGGAAUAACUGUCUUUAUUUAAAAUUAAGUUGAACUUGGUUAUUAAGGUGAAAAUACCUUAAAUAAAACAAUAGACGAGAAGACCCUUAGACCUUUUAUAAAUUUAUAAUUUUUAUAUUACAUUUUUGUUGGGGCGACAUUGUAUCAAAUACUUAUAACAUUAACAUACAUUUAAUAAUUUUUAUUUCCACCUACUUGUAGUAUUAAUAAAUAAGGUACCUGAGGGAUAACAGCAUUAUUAUAUUAUUUACAUUGUGACCUCGAUGUUGGACUAGGA